AAACACGCCACAUUACAACUGUGAUAACUCAGUUUUUAUUUGCAACAUAUGAGGAAUUUGGAAUUUAUAGUCAAAGAAAUUUGCAGUGCGACGGAAUUUGUCAGGAAUCUCAAAACUGUUGCAUUCCUCAUAGUUUAAGUGUGUUGGCAACACUGGAACAAGAAACAUGACGUUAGUUGAUAACGGAAUGGGGUCACUAAAUGAACCUGACGAUAUUCAGUCUUAUCAGUUCCUCCUUGUCUUCAAGGACGAGUGGAGGUUUUGCCACAUUAUUUCACAAAGCGACAGAACUGACCUGAUUCGCGGUGACGUUUUCUAUUAGGAAGAGUUCAGACCGAAGCAACAGGUAACAAGCGAUAGGCGAUACGCAAAAAAUAGCUGACGAACCGAUUAAGUUCGUGUUGAAUGACCACUUGACCGACAAUUUGUCAAGCCGAUUAAGUAUUGACUCAUCGACUUCGAUCUGUCCAAUUGGAUGCCCGAAAGAGAGGAAAACACAUUGAGUGACUGACCGAUCGACCGAGAGAGGUCCAUGCAUUAACCAACCAACUGACGGGUUUCCUACCUGAAUAACAGAGCGUCUGAAUGAUUAAUGCAUCCGGUCUGUUAUAUCCUGUAAUUUUCAUGGUUUGCCACAACAGAAGACGGAAUCCACCAACGUCUACACAGGAAGAUGUGGAGGGUUGUGGCGAGAAUCAGUUUCCGUGGUGUGUGUUGGCUGCCCUGCGGUAUGUCACCGCUUUAUGUGUAGCCAUGCGAGCGUUCGGUCCACAGCGUAGCCGACGAUGUAACCACACGAUUUCACACAUUGUAACCUCAGUUCAGUCGCCAGUACCGCGUGAAAAAUCAAUACGAUGUAUCACUUCCUUCUAAUAACGAGAUAAGUAACGAGGAAAGCUACGUCACCUCAUGCCAACA